UUCUUUCUCCCUUCUCCUCACUCUCUCUACCCUCUUUCGUUAUCCCUUUCUCCUUUGCUCUCAUUAAUUUUCUCUGUCUCCCGCUCCUACCGAUGCCCCCUCCCCCCCAUUUUGGUGUGUGUCUUCAGGGUACACCUAUGUCCAGACACGAUACUACCGUGCCCCGGAAGUGAUCCUAGGCCUUCCCUUUGGCACAGCCAUUGAUAUGUGGAGUCUGGGCUGUAUCCUGGCUGAGCUCUACACUGGCAACCCACUGUUCUCUGGGACCAAUGAGGCAGAUCAGCUCUCCUGCAUCAUGGAGGUGCUGGGAAUGCCCCCAGAUAACAUUGUUCAGAUGUCACCAAGAAGGAGGGUAUUUUUUGAUCCCAAGGGCCAAACUACAUGUCUCAAAAAAAGGCCAAAUUCCAAGGACUUGGCCAGCGCAUUGAGGAGCCGAGACCUGCUGUUUGUGGACUUUCUUAGGCGAUGUCUCACGU